CACUAUGAUGAGAGUAAUUUGCGAUUGAUACCGUCUAGGUGGCUCACUUUCGCCGGUGCGGCUAUACCUGUCGGCCAACUGAUAGUAUUUCUUACAUAUUCUGAAU
rnacentral:snoRNA from 1 species